GGCCCCGUAGCUCAAUGGCAGAGCAGGAAACUCUUAAUUUCAAGGUUGGAGGUUCGACUCCUCCCGGGGUCA
rnacentral:tRNA from 1 species